rnacentral:rRNA from 1 species
UUUAUGGAGAGUUUGAUCCUGGCUCAGGACGAACGCUGGCGGCGUGCCUAAUACAUGCAAGUCGAGCGAACCAAUUGAAAGCCUAGCUUUCAUGAGGUUAGCGGCGGACGGGUGAGUAACACGUGGGUAACCUGCCCUAUAGACUGGGAUAACUCGCGGAAACGCGUGCUAAUACCGGAUAACACAUCAAAGUGCAUGCUUUGAUGUUGAAAGAUGGUUCUGCUAUCACUAUAGGAUGGGCCCGCGGCGCAUUAGCUUGUUGGUGGGGUAACGGCCUACCAAGGCGACGAUGCGUAGCC